rnacentral:rRNA from 1 species
UACGAAGGGGGCUAGCGUUGCUCGGAAUCACUGGGCGUAAAGCGCACGUAGGCGGAUUGCUAAGUCAGGGGUGAAAUCCUGGAGCUCAACUCCAGAACUGCCUUUGAUACUGGCGACCUUGAGUCCGGGAGAGGUGAGUGGAACUGCGAAGUGUAGAGGUGAAAUUCGUAGAUAUUCGCAAGAACACCAGUGGCGAAGGCGGCUCACUGGCCCGGUACUGACGCUGAGGUGCGAAAGCGUGGGGAGCAAACAGG